CUAUAUAUUUGGCAAAAAUUACAAGAUAGAAAGAAUUUUUUAUUUAGUAUAAUAGUUAUAUGAAGUGAACAUUAAGUGAUAAUAAAUGUAAUACUUUUUAAUUAUUUUGAUUUAAAAUAUUAUUUUGUUCACAUAAACUAUGCCUUUGAAUUAUGUGUUUGACUACGUAAUUUUUCACCAAUUGGAACUAAGACAAAAGAAAGUUUUGUAGUAAAACAGAUUAAACCAAACUAUUAACCAUAUGCAAAGCUCGGUUAUCUUACAUUUUAGUUUUUUUAUAAUUGCACAAAGUUAAUAUUGAUUAAAUAAUAAAUAAAAAAUCUGUAUUAUUACUUUUAUGGUAUAUUAUAAUUAAUGAGUUGAUGUAUUGUUACGGUAAAUAUAAUUAAUGAUGUGAUGUAUUGUUAAAAUAAUAUAAUUAAUGAAAUUACUAAAAUAACACUAUACUUAUAUUUUUAUACAUUAAUAUUUAUUUUUCAUAAUUCGUAUUUUAUAUUUAGAUAUGCCGUAAUGUAACUAAUUGUAUUCAAAAGACAUAUAUCAAAUCAGAUAAUAUGGUUAUUUUGGUACAAAUAUCCAAACCCGUUUCAAAUACAUUGGUUAUUUAAAUAUUUUUAGGGUCAUAUACAUCAGAACCGAACACAUCCACACUCAAAAGGACUCAACUCAAAACCUACACAUAAAUUUAUAAUAUUCUAGGAGAGAGUAAUUUAAAAAAAAAACAAUAAUAGAAAGGAACAAUUAGUACCUAAGUGGAUAUCUAGUGUUCAUGCAUAACUAAUUUUAUAAACUAAUAAAAAAUAUUUUCUAUGUGUUUUGCUAAAUUAAGUGAAAUAGAAAAAGUUUUUUAUUUAGUAAGUCAAUUAUAUUGAGUGAAAAAAUAGGUGACAAUAAAUGUAAUUCAUUUUUAUUAUUUUGAUUUAAGUUAUGAUUUUAUUCACAAUACAUGUCUUUGAAUUAUUUUUUAGUAAAACAAACUAAACCAAACGUUGAACCUUAUGCAAAACUCAGUUAUGUUACUUUUUUGAUUUUAUAAUUGGCACAAAAUCAAUAUUGAUUAACUACUAAAUACAAAUCUACACUAUUAUUAUUAUGGUAAUAUAAUUAAUGAUGUGAAAUAUUGUUAAGGUAAUAUAAUUAAUAAAUUUGUUAAUAGAGUGAAAUAUGGAAAUACAAUUAAUGUAAUACUGAUAUCCUCGUAUUCAAACAAUUCUCGGUUAUACUACUAUUCAUGUUUCCAAACAUUACUAAAGUGUACUUCAGUUUUAAUAAUAUAGAUGAUGUUAUCCAAAAAUAAAAUUUUGUGUAAAAGUUUUUUUCUUCAACAAGUAGAUAAUACAUAUUAGAAUGAAAAAAUAUUAGACAUCUUGAGAAACUUAAUUUUAAAUAAUUCACCAAAUAUAUAUAAAUAGUUAUAAUCUACCACAAAAAUUUGAAAACCAUUCUCUACGGGAGAAUUUUAAAAUAUCAACCCAUUACUUGGUUGGUGGUAGUCUAUUGACAAUUUUUAGGUGUUUGGUGUGUACUUACAUCAGAUUUUGAUACAAUUUUUUUGGAAAACUAGAAAUUAUCAUCACUUGACCAGUAUACGUUUGGGCUUCGGUCCAAAUAGUUUAUAUAGUGGAUCGUAACAGGUGAUCUGUUCACCUAUUUGCAUUUGUUGGAAUUUAUUCCAAACUCGGAUUAGGCAGUGAGAUAGCCAAUCCAUUCUGUAAUACUAAGUGUGUUCCUGCCAAAGCCAACUUGAUCAGCUGAAAGGGUUUAUAAAAAAAAAAACAUUGAACCAUAUAUAUAUAUAUAUAAUCACAUAUAUAUAUAUAUAUAUAUAUAUAUAUAAUCAAAGAUAUGUGAUACGACUUUUUCAAACCUAUGUGUUACAAAUAAUUUGAAACUCAGCUAGAUGAAUCCGUAUUAUAUUAUAAAUAUAUCUCCAUAUGAGAAGCGAAUUGCCAUAUACAAUGUAAGCACGUACGUUUUUAAAUUAUUACGACAUAGGGGGCCUCCUCUACGUUUUCGACAGCCCAUCUUUGUCUGAGUAGAGUCUUUCGACUGGUUUUCCCGCUACUACCCACAAACGCAGCUUUUGCGUUUGGUAGCGAUUGUCGACGGUUUGCAACAAUCACUCAAAUCGCUCUAAACCGCUUCAAACCGCUCAGAAUCUCAUAAAUUCAAAAGCUGGUUCUAGCUAGCAUUUGCGGUUGCGGAUGGUUGCAGGAAGGUAAAUUUUUUUUCUUUUUAAAAAAAAAUAUAUAUAUACAAAAGUAAAAAUAUUUAAUAGAAAUUUUAAAAUUGAAAUUAUGAAAAUAUUAAAAUAUAUCUAUUAUAUUUUAAUUAAUAUUAUAAAAUUUUAUAAUAAAAACAAUUUCAAUAAAUUUUCAAAAAUUAAAAUUAUCUUUCUAAAUAUAAAUUUUAUAUUUAUUAUAAUUUUAUGAUUUUUGAUAUUUUUAUAAUUAUAUUAAAUAUAUAUAUUGUUAAUUUAUUAUUUGACUGUUACCGCAUUUGGUAAUUAAUCAGUCAUAAAUCACCCGCAAACGCACCAAUUUUUAACCGCAGUACCAGUCGUACAAAUCUCUUAAAACCGCUAAAAAUCGCAACCGUUCGCAUCCACAAACUCCCGCAACCGCUGCGAUUGAACCCGUCAGGUCCAUGGUGUUCAACUUUCAAGGACUGCGAUGGUUUGGAAAUGAUAAUAUUCAUGUUUCUCACGUAGAGAUAAUUUUAGCUAACAUUCCAAAUCAUUAAUAAGUGUAUAAUUAUAAUUAACGAAUCGCUGAAUUGACUGACUAUGUUAUUUAAAGGGGUUUACUUAGCGAGUCACGACAAUUAAGAGGUUUACUUCAGCGCUAAUUGAGGAUCCUUGGAAUGCGCCGGCGUGGCCCUAUCCUUUCAGAGUCAACUCAAGCAUGUCACAUGUUCACAUGUUCACAUGAAGGAACUCUCCUUUGUUUCCCGGGUCAAAAGGUAUGAACUUAUUACUAUUUUAAUUUUCUUGACAGUCAUGUGUUUU